GACGAACGCUGGCGGCGUGCUUAACACAUGCAAGUCGAACGGUGAAGCGCCUUCCUUUUUGGUGGGGGUGGAUGAGUGGCGAACGGGUGAGUAACACGUGAGUAACCUGCCCCCUUCUUCUGGAUAACCGCAUGAAAGUGUGGCUAAUACGGGAUAUUCUGGGUCUGUCGCAUGAUGGGUCUGGGAAAGAUAUUGUUUCGGUGGGGGAUGGGCUCGCGGCCUAUCAGCUUGUUGGUGGGGUGAUGGCCUACCAAGGCGGUGACGGGUAGCCGGCCUGAGAGGGUCGACCGCACCACUGGGGCGACGCGACGGACCAGACUCCUGCAGGAGGCAGCAGGGGGGAAUAUGGCACAAUGGGAGGAAGGCUGAAGCAGCGACGCCGCGGGAGGGAUGGUGGCCUUCGGGUUGUGAACCUCUUUCGCCAGUGAAGCAGGCCUGCCUCGUUUGUGGGUGGGUUGACGGUAGCUGGAGAAGAAGCGCCGGCUAACUACGUG
rnacentral:rRNA from 1 species